rnacentral:rRNA from 1 species
UUAGAACGGAUUACUUCGGUUUGAAGUUCUUUAUGACUGAGUGGCGGACGGGUGAGUAACGCGUGGGUAACCUGCCUUGUACUGGGGGAUAGCAGCUGGUAACGGCUGGUAAUACCGCAUAAGCGCACAAUGUUGCAUGACAUGGUGUGAAAAACUCCGGUGGUAUAAGAUGGACCCGCGUCUGAUUAGCUAGUUGGUGAGAUAACAGCCCACCAAGGCGACGAUCAGUAGCCGACCUGAGAGGGUGACCGGCCACAUUGGGACUGAGACACGGCCCAGACUCCUACGGGAGGCAGCAGUGGGGAAUAUUGCACAAUGGAGGAAACUCUGAUGCAGCGACGCCGCGUGAGUGAAGAAGUAAUUCGUUAUGUAAAGCUCUAUCAGCAGGGAAGAUAGUGACGGUACCUGACUAAGAAGCUCCGGCUAAAUACGUGCCAGCAGCCGCGGUAAUACGUAUGGAGCAAGCGUUAUCCGGAUUUACUGGGUGUAAAGGGAGUGUAGGUGGCCAUGCAAGUCAGAAGUGAAAAUCCGGGGCUCAACCCCGGAACUGCUUUUGAAACUGUAAGGCUGGAGUGCAGGAGGGGUGAGUGGAAUUCCUAGUGUAGCGGUGAAAUGCGUAGAUAUUAGGAGGAACACCAGUGGCGAAGGCGGCUCACUGGACUGUAACUGACACUGAGGCUCGAAAGCGUGNGGAGCAAACAGGAUUAGAUACCCUGGUAGUNCACGCCGU